CAGCCGCCACGGGAAUACGUAGGUGGCAAGCGUUGUCCGGAAUUAUUGUGCGUAAAGCGCGCGCAGGCGGAUCAGUUAGUCUGUCUUAAAAGUUCGGGGCUUAACCCCGUGAGGGGAUGGAAACUGCUGAUCUAGAGUAUCGGAGAGGAAAGUGGAAUUCCUAGUGUAGCGGUGAAAUGCGUAGAUAUUAGGAAGAACACCAGUGGCGAAGGCGACUUUCUGGACGAAAACUGACGCUGAGGCGCGAAAGCCAGGGGAGCGAACGGGAUUAGAUACCCCAGUAGUCCCUGUCUCUUAUACA
rnacentral:rRNA from 1 species